rnacentral:sRNA from 1 species
UCUCCGUUGGUGAACCAGCGGAGGGAUCAUUAUCGAGUUUACAACUCCCAAACCCUUAUGUGAACAUACCUACUGUUGCUUCGGCGGACUCGCCCCGGCGUCCGGACGGCCUCGCGCCGCCCGCGGCCCGGACCCAGGCGGCCGCCGGAGACCCCCAAACUCUGUAUUAUCAGCAUUUUCUGAAUCCGCCGCAAGGCAAAACAAAUGAAUCAAAACUUUCAACAACGGAUCUCUUGGUUCUGGCAUCGAUGAAGAACGCAGCGAAAUGCGAUAAGUAAUGUGAAUUGCAGAAUUCAGUGAAUCAUCGAAUCUUUGAACGCACAUUGCGCCCGCCAGCAUUCUGGCGGGCAUGCCUGUUCGAGCGUCAUUUCAACCCUCGACUUCCCUUUGGGGAAAUCGGCGUUGGGGAACGGCAGCAUACCGCCGGCCCCGAAAUGAAGUGGCGGCCCGUCCGCGGCGACCUCUGCGUAGUAAUCCAACUCGCACCGGAACCCCGACGUGGCCACGCCGUAAAACACCCAACUUCUGAACGUUGACCUCGGAUCAGGUAGGAAUACCCGCUGAACUUAAGCAUAUCAAUAAGCGGAGGAAAAGAAACCAACAGGGAUUGCCCCAGUAACGGCGAGUGAAGCGGCAACAGCUCAAAUUUGAAAUCUGGCCCUUGGGUCCGAGUUGUAAUUUGUAGAGGAUGCUUUUGGCGAGGUGCCUUCCGAGUUCCCUGGAACGGGACGCCAUAGAGGGUGAGAGCCCCGUCUGGUCGGACACCGAGCCUCUGUAAAGCUCCUUCGACGAGUCGAGUAGUUUGGGAAUGCUGCUCAAAAUGGGAGGUAUAUGUCUUCUAAAGCUAAAUAUUGGCCAGAGACCGAUAGCGCACAAGUAGAGUGAUCGAAAGAUGAAAAGCACUUUGAAAAGAGGGUUAAAAAGUACGUGAAAUUGUUGAAAGGGAAGCGCCUAUGACCAGACUUGGGCCCGGUGAAUCAUCCAGCGUUCUCGCUGGUGCACUUUGCCGGGCACAGGCCAGCAUCAGUUUGGCGCGGGGGAAAAAGGCUUUGGGAAUGUGGCUCCCUCGGGAGUGUUAUAGCCCAUUGUGUAAUACCCUGCGCCGGACUGAGGUACGCGCAUUGCAAGGAUGCUGGCGUAAUGGUCAU